GAACUGAAGCUUCGAGCCGAAGACACCGCUCGCUCGGCGACGGCGGUGCAAAUAACAGAGCGUUUCCGAAAUUUCAGCUUCCAAAAAUUUCGAAGCGGGCCGUUCAAUCAAUGGAGAUAGCCGGCGAAGACGGUUCAAAGUUAGUUGUAGGUGAGCCAGUGACGAUAUUCGGGAGAGGCUCAGGAUUUGCUUCCAAAGAUCGGACAGUAUCUCGUCGUCACCUUUUAAUCGAAGCUAAAACCUCAGAGAACUGUGAUGGAGCUCCCGUGGAGCCUUGGAUUUCCUUCGAGGUUAUUGGGAGAAACCCUAUUUGGGUUCGGAGCGGCAAAAAUGGCGAAAUCAGAACAUUUAGAAGGUCGGAAAAGGGCGAGAUUGCGCCUGGUGAAUCGUUCUGCGUGGGCGGGCAGGAACCGACUUGGUUCAAAUUAAACAAAAUCGCUGAAAUCGAAGAAGGGAAGCGAAUUGUUCCGAAGACCGAGGAUCAAUUUGCUGAGAGGUUGACGCGUUCUUCUGAUUCGGAGGAUAUCGAUGUUUCUGGCAUUGAUCCUGUCAAAGAAUUUGGUUUUCUUGUUAUGGGGCACGAGUUUGAAUGCUAUGGCAAUCGAGUGAUUCGUGAUGCAAAAAAGUGGGACUGGUUUCUGGAUGAGCCGAGAAAAGGAAGCGAUGAUGAUGAAGAUUAUGGGAGGAGAAAGAGGAGAGGAGUAAGGGGGAAGAGAAAAAAAGGAGCAAACAGUGACGAUGAAGAUUGGACAGAUGAGAAUGAAGAUGCUGUGGAAAUGAUUGCAAAAGCAAAAAAGGUUCAAAGACCCAAAUACUCCACGAGAUCAAAGGAUCACAAUAAAACUAACAAGGAUCAAAAUAAAGCUGCUAAUUCUAACAAAGACUAUGAUGAAGAAGAUGAAGAUGAUGAAACUUUAGGAGGUUUUAUUGUAGAUGAUGAAGUAGACAACGAAGAACAGAUGGACGAAGAUGAAGAAGAAGAAUUUUCGGACGACGAUGAUGAGGAUGAAGAUUGAUGGAGCGAAUAGCUUCGCUUGGCUGCUGCUAACUUUAGGCUUGUUCUGGGCAGGAAAUGGUGAGAAAGACUGGAUCAUUCCCUUGUUAUGGAUAUGGAGGCCGCGAGGAAUUCUUUAGAAUAAUUUCAUUUUGCUUUUAUGAUGUGUUACUCAUGAGCCUGCAAUACCUGUAGUCUAUCAUCAUCCUUGUACUGAACUCAGUAGCCCGUGGACAUAAUCUCGAUCGGCAGUCGUACUAAUGUCAUUUAAUCUCUUGAUUCGAGUAUGACAUAUUAGAGUUGUAUGGAAAGGCAUAUUGGUGGUUUUAGAUUAUCAUUAGACCCAGAAGCUUGAGCAAGUGGGUGACUUGCGGUGACGGUUUGGGUUUGGGUUUGAGUUUUAAUGAAUUUGACUUAAGAUGUAGAACCCAUGUUUAUCCCAUAGAUUUUUCGAGCCAGGAGUUUGUUGGACGUGAAACCCAUAAGUUUCAACCGUACUCUAAACCUACACUUCCUAACUCACUCUUACACAGUUUUUUUGAAACUCAGGCUUCCUAAAUCUGUUGGCUUCUUAAACGUUCUACUUAAACCCCUAGAUAACGAUCUAAACAUCAUAUUCUUGUAGUUCAUUUAGAAUGAAUGUGUAUAAAUAUGAAUAGCCUUUUGGCCCUCCACGUUUCCGUGUUUGAAUGCACGACAUCUGAUACUUUCUUCUUGGUUCCAUCUUCCAUAACGCAAGCUCAGAGUAGGAAGAGAUAAGGAGGACCCUAUGAAAAAUGUGAUUUUAAAAUCGUAAUCUUUCCCUUUUUUCCUUUUUAUUGCAGAGGAGGAAGAGCAAUUAUUUAAUCUUUUGGGGCAUGGAAAUUGCAUUUUCUGGCUUGAACCAUAAUUAUGAUUAGAAGCAUUUGAGUGACCUUUUAUUUAGAGAUUCUGUAUGUGUUUGGCCAUCUUUUUUGACUGGUUUGAAUCCAUUAUUUCACAAACUUUAGGAGUGCUUCAUUGAAAUAAUUGCUAUUAACUUUUGUCUAAAUACGAAAAGUGAAUCAAGCCCAAGUUACAGACCUUUCCUAGGAAACACUCUUGAAAUCGAACUCAAACGAAUAAUAUUCAUCUUGAAAAGUUGAUAAUAAUUUUCUGCAACACUACCAAACAGCACCUAAAAUUUUAAAGGUAU